UUGUCAGGAUGUAAACAAACGAUGACGUAGGCCGGUACAAUUUUCGCCCCCGGUACAAUUUUAACGUGACACCUCCUCCACCCCUCCUUUGUGACCCAUUAAUUUAUAUUUAGGGCAUUUAGCAUUCCUUUCCUCCACUAGAUAACGCUGCCACGGUAUAAUAAGGGAACUAGGCCACAGAGAAUGAAAGCAAACUAGAGAUGGCUCCUCCUCGAUUCUCCUUGCAAAUGCUGACAAAAUUGUGGACAUAAAGAUAGUGACAGAGACAAAGAGAGAGAGAGCAAGAGAGAGAGAGAGAGAGAGAGAGAGAGAGAGAGAGAGAGAGAGAGAGAGAGAGAGAGAGAGAGAGAGAGAGAGAGAGAGAGAGAGAGAGAGAGAUAAAUGGGCUGCACUGAAAUCCUAGUUAAGAGCACAUAAUCUUCAAGAGCUUAGUCAAGGCUUAAUGUGUUACCAUAGGGCUGUGUCAUCCACAGCCAGGGCAAAUGAGCUUUCAUGCUUUAAUAACAUUUAAUAGGUAAGGGAUAUUCACAUUUUCUAUGGCAGCAAACACCACAGUAAGCGUUGGCAGGAAAGAUACAGCUGAAUAUUUCCCCUCUCUGACUUGAGGCGACCCUCACUUUGAGGGUCGCCUCAAAGUCAAAGUCGACAUAGCUUCCUUCCAUGUAUUGCUGCCAUCGACAUGGAAGCAAUAGCUCAAUGAAUGAGAGAGAUCGUAUCCUGAGUAAUGAAUUAAAUCAAACAUCAGCAUACUGUUACAUAUAGAAACAAUAUAAUAUAACAUGUGAGAAGUUUUGUCUAAGACCCAAUUCCAUAUCUACCCCAUAGCCCUUCCCCUUAAGGGGUAGGGCUAUAGGGGUUGAAAUGGGAUUGGGCCUAAGGCACAAUCCCAUUUCUACCCCUUACCCCUUACCCUUACCCCUUCAAAACACGGGGGAGGGGUAAGGGGAAGGGGGAAGGGGUAGAAAUGGGAUUGGGCCUUAGUCUGUUAUACCGUUUUUACAGUUUAGUACUGUUUAUACAGUAUUUAGACAAUUCCUUAUUAAGGUAUUUCAUUUGAAUGGGACACUGGGGCCCAAUUCCAGACCUGUGGUGUCAGGAUCUGGUAAACAGGAUUCUGCUCUAGAGAAACAGCUGCUCCAGCUCCAAGAGGGCUAACACAGCCGAUAUCAGCUUCUCAGCGGUCAGUCCACCACCAGCUCAUAAUCCUCACAGUAAACAAUCAGAGCCCAGGAAGAUUGAAAACAGCAAGAUUCUAGAUUUACAUUCCAAUCAUGUGAUACCCCAGUCCGAAAAUGGCUUGAUUUUCAUCAUUCCUAAGCACAAAACGCACACACACACACACACACACACACACACACACACACACACACACACACACA
ensembl:lncRNA